CCUACGGGAGGCAGCAGUGAGGAAUAUUGGACAAUGGGCGCAAGCCUGAUCCAGCCAUGCCGCGUGCAGGAAGAAGCAUCUAUGGUGUGUAAACUGCUUUUGUACAGGAAGAAACACUCCCUCGUGAGGGAGCUUGACGGUACUGUAAGAAUAAGGACCGGCUAACUCCGUGCCAGCAGCCGCGGUAAUACGGAGGGUCCGAGCGUUAUCCGGAAUCAUUGGGUUUAAAGGGUCCGUAGGCGGUUUAAUAAGUCAGUGGUGAAAUCUGGUCGCUCAACGAUCAAACGGCCAUUGAUACUGUUAGACUUGAAUUAUAAGGAAGUAACUAGAAUAUGUAGUGUAGCGGUGAAAUGCUUAGAUAUUACAUGGAAUACCAAUUGCGAAGGCAGGUUACUACUUAUGGAUUGACGCUGAUGGACGAAAGCGUGGGGAGCGAACAGGAUUAGAUACCCUGGUAGUCCACGCCGUAAACGAUGGAUACUAGCUGUUCGGAGCAAUCUGAGUGGCUAAGCGAAAGUGAUAAGUAUCCCACCUGGGGAGUACGUUCGCAAGAAUGAAACUCAAAUGAAAUUGACGG
rnacentral:rRNA from 1 species